UCAGCUAUGCUGGGACUGAGGCUCCUUCCUUCUCAAUAUCUGAAAUUCUGAAGGCAAUACUCUUGUCCUAAAGGAAAUGUGUAAUGUGAAGUUAACCUCAAUGUGAUGUGCCAAGGGCAUGUGAAAUCACAAGGAGAAAGUGCAGUAUUUACUGAGUGAGCAGCUAUUCCAGUCAAUGGUAAGUGAUUUUUUUUUUUUUUUUUUUUGACGGAAUCCGGCUCUGUCGCCCAGGCUGGAAUGCAGUGGCGCAAUCUCGGCUCACUACAACCUCCGCCUCCCGAGUUCAAGUGAUUAGUAGCUGGGACUACAGGCAUCCGCCACCAUGCCCGGGUAAUUUUUUUGUACUUUUAAUAGAGAUGGGGUUUCACCAUGUUGGCCAGGAUGGUCUCUAUCUCUUGACCUCGUGAUCCACCCGCCUUGGCCUCCCAAAGUGCUGGCAUUACAGGCGUGAGCCACCGCGCCCUGCCGGUAGGUGAUUUUAAAAUUUACUUUUACAUGAGAACGGCAUGGGUAGGUCAGGCGCAGUGACUCAUGCCUGUAAUCCCAGCACUUUGAAAGACCAAGGCAGGAGGAUGGAUUGAGCCCAGGAGUUUGAGACAAGCAUGGCAACAUAAUGAGACGCCAUCUCUACCAAAAAUUAAAAUAAAAAUUAGCCAGGCACAGUGGCUCUCACCUGUAGUCCCAGUUACUCUGGAGACUGAGGUGGAAGGAUCACUUGAGCCCAGGAAGUUGGUGGCUGCAGUGAGCCAAGACGGCACCACUGCACCCCAGCCUGGGUGACAGAGUGAGACCCUGUCUCAAGAAUAACAAACAGAUAAACAAAAAAUCCAGCAUGAGUGUAUUAUGGAGUAGAAUGCAACAUUUCUUUUUAUCGAAAACAAGACUUCAAAGAUAGGCCCUGCACAUUGCAGUCAUUUGCGGCCACACUUGUAGAUCCUUCAAAUUACGGAAUCAUCUUUACUGUCCUAAGAGGUACUUUGAUAAAAACUUUGAGAAACACUUCUAGUUAGCUUUUCAUCUGCUAUUUUCCACCUCCUUAUUCAGGGUAUGCCUUAAGGCCAGGGACUUGGCAGUUGCCACUUUGUUAUUCCUGGCAGCAGCCAGCACAAGGCACACCACGGGAGAAGCAUUCAACUGAUGUUGCUUGAAUGGCUUUGUGCCUUGCCUAUUAGGGAUAUAGAUGAUCCUCUAUCUAGAUCCCUGAUAAGAGGGUAGAGAAACCUCAGAUUCAGUCUAGACUUUGAUCUACAUUGCCAUGUGGCCUUGUGCAAACUACUGAAUGUCUCUGAGUUUCCUUGUCUGAAAAAUCCAGAAUACCCAUUACAUGAGGUUAUUUUAAGACUUAAAGGAAAUACUGUGCCAAGUAUUCAUCACAAUGAUACAAACCAUUCACAGCAUCCAAAGACAACAGAGUUGCUGGAUCACUGCCAGGCCCCAGGCAUUGAAGCCUUGCUUGCUGCAAUUCUCUUUGGCUAAGUUAGGCACAUACUAAAAUGGAUACAAGGAUCCCAUAGCAAUUGCCUUGUAAGACACUUAAAGGCAACUGAUCACAAGGUGGACAAGGGAAAGCUUUCAAGAACCCUGAAAUUGAAUUUGGAGUCACUAAUACAGCUAGGGAAUGAUAGCGUGGAAUGUCUCAAGGUCGCUUGCAACAGAGAAAGGGGGCCUUAUUUCAAAGAAAUUGCCCUGUCUGCCAGGAUAAAAAUGAGACACACACAGCAAAGAGAAAAGAGCAGCUGCUACAGAGCAUUACCAAGGGAGAGACUGCAAAACAAAUCAUCAGUGGGAAGGAGAAUGAGGAACACCACGAAUUUCUUCCAUCACUGGACAAGAAGCGCUCUCUCCUCUAAUUCAUAGGAUAAAAAGAAAGCUGGCUCCAAAUGGCCAUUUAAGCCCAGUAGGGCCCUUUGCAAGAAUGCGAAAGAGAGAAGAUAACAUGAUUUUCUCCACUGUGUCAAGAUGCAAUGGCUACAUAUACCUCCUGCAGCUGAAUUAUAAAGGCUGGAGCGUGCUUGCGACCAUUUGGACCACAUGGUUCCCGCUGUCAAAAGGUACCCCCCAGAGACAUCAUUUUCCACUGCCUAUGGAUCAGACGUCCAACAGAUUCCAGGAGGCACAAUGUUAAUAGACUGAAAUUGUCUUUGCUUCUGGAGGCAAAAGUGAAGAUAGGCAGGGCAAAGAUUUUCUCUUGUGCUUUCUUCUAGAACUUUUAUAGUUUCAGGUUUCACAUUGUGUAUGAUCCCCUUUGAGUUAAUUUUUUUAUGUGAUGCAAGAUAUGGAUCAAGAUUUGGAUUUGAAUAUGGAUAACCAAUUGUUCCAGCACCAUUUGCUGAAAAGACUAUCUUUUCUUCACUAAAUUGCUUUUUUAACUUUGAAAAGAAUCAAUUAACCCAUAUAUGUGUGUAUCUAUUUCUGGACUUUCUAUUCUGCUUCAUUGAUUUAUAUUGUCUAUUCUUUUGCCAUUACCACACGGGCUUGAUUACUGUAGCUUCAUAGGAACUCUUGAAAUUAGGUAGUGUGAUUCCUCCAACUUUGUUCUUUUUCAAAAUUAUGCUGGCUAUUACAGUUCCUUUGUCUUACCAUAUAUAUUUUAGAAUCAGCUUGCUGAUUUUUACACACACACACACACACACACACACACAAACCUGCUAGAUUUUUCACUAGAACUGUACUGAAUUCAUACAUCUAUAUUAUUUUUUUUUUAAGAUAAAUUGCUUCAUAAAUUUAUUCUGAUGCUUCUGGUUCAAACUCAGGGAUACAGAGGUUUCUACUUUAACCUCUUCUCUGUUAAACUUGUGUCUCUUUCCUUCCACACCAAAUAUCCUAGUUCUCUAGGACACUGAAAGUGAUAGAAUUGGAACAUUUCAUAAUUGUUCAUCUAGUUUAUCCCAUAUUACAAACAUAGUCUCUGAAUAAUACUCAUAUUAUAACAAUAUAAUUACUAAUAUUAAUUAAAAACUUUUUUGCAUAUGCCUUUUUUCUCCCAUUUUUAUAAUUGUACUAUAUCUACAUUUUCUGAACAUAUAGUCAUCCCAUUACUAUAAAAAAUCUGCCUUGAUAUUUUUUCUAAAAGACACACUCAUCUAUUUAUUUAACUGAGUUAUUCUCUGCCUCCUUCAAAAAUGAUUUUAAACUCCCUUAAAAAGAGGAAAAUACAGUUGGGUAAAAAGGAGGAAGCAAAUAUGUUAACCAUAAUUUAAAUAUGCGUUAUGAUUAAGUGCAAUAUUUGGCUCAAUGCAUCCUAACAGCCAAAUUAAAGGUAAAAAUGUGACAAGUUACAUAAAGUGGUAUUUUUCAAAUACAAUUGUUAUUUUUUUUAAGAUUAAAGGCAGACUUUUUUUUUACAUUACAUUACUAGGAGACAAAAAUUGAGAUGUGUAAUAACAUCCUCAAUUAGAGUUUCACAGAAAUGUAAAAAAAAAUUGACGUGAAAAAAGUUCAACAUAAUAUUAAAGUGCAAAUCAGUAAAACCGAGAGAUCUUUCAGAGAAAGACCUUUAUCUUAAACUGUUUUUUAAUACUUUUAAUGUACAUCAUGUAGCUGUUUGUCUCUUUUUAUUAUAGUAUAUAUUAUUACAGAAAUAUUUUAAAUAUUUAUAUUUAAAUAUAUUUAUACAUAUAUAUGGUACAUAUGUAUAUAUUUUUGCUUUUCUAAUUAGAAAGAAUUUCCCACUAUCAACAUUAUCACUAAGAACUUUAGCUGACUCUUUGAGUCAAGAAAACACUUUGAAAGUUCUACUCAGCCACAGCUUAGAAACUGCCCAACGUGCUUCACCACCAAGCUUAGGCUAUGUUAAAGCAAACGUGGCAUCAGCUUCAAGGGCAAGGCAGGGGAAGAAGACAUUAGUUGCAGAUAUAAUAAUAUGGGAAAAGGGGGUCAAAGAAUGGACAUUUGACUAAUGGGGUGAACAGCAGGAGAAGAGUGUUAGUGACUAUGAGACAGUGGAUGUGGAAGGAAAGAUCACAGUACCAUUGACUGUCCAUUGUAAAAGUCCAGCAAGACCUAAAGGAAAUGAGCAUGUCCUAGAGAAGUCUGAAUUUGUUAACAGGAGACUAGCUUAAUGGACAGUGAAUAAUAGUAUUACUGGAAAAGGUAAUCUGGAUAGGAAUAAGAUAUAGAUAAAUCAAAGAUUGAAGUUUCCUGAAUUCUCCCACACAGAGUUAUAUACAAAUUCUAACACCACAGUAUUUUCCACCUUGAAUCAUGCUUCAUGAGUUUGCUUUAUGAAAGAGCAUUUCAUUUACUUGAUGGUGACAGCUUGCCCAUUUUCAGGUGACUACAUCCUUAUCACCACUUGAGAGCCAGUGGGCUCCUCUCAGAAAAUCGGGCUUACACAGACAAGAUAGUCCACGGUUUUAUGCCAAAUUUCUCUAUCUAUCUCUUGCUACUCUCUGAGGGCAUUCUGACCUCUUAAUUCCUUGAGGGCCAUAAUUGACCAGAAACACUCUUGACUGCAUCAGGAAUUGAGUGGGAACUCUUGAUAGGUCUUUGGUCAAUCACUUAAGAAAAUCCAUUUCAUUUAAGUCAUUCCUGGAAAUUUUUUCUUUUACUUAAUUAUGUUGUGCACCCUUUUGCUUCCCUCUCAUGAUAUCAGGACACACAGGUUAAUGUGAAAGAAGCAUAUGCAGUUACUAAAGAAAUGAAGUUUUUCCACUGAUAGGUAUAUGGGUUAGAUUGAAUAUUAACACUGAUUCCUCGUGCUCUUUCCUUAUGACGCCUAAGUAAUAAGUUAUUUGCUUUCAUAAAUUUUUGAAAUUGUAUGUGAUUAGUAAUAAAAGGUCUGCAUCAGAAAAUAAUAUCCUUACCAACAGGAAACAGGGGUUUCAGUUGAAAAGCAUGAAACAUAUAUUUUCUUGAUAAAGCUGAUAUGGUUUGGCUGUCCCCACCCAAAUCUCAUCUUGAACUAUAGCUCCAACAAUUCCCACGUGUGGUGAGAGGUAAUUGAAUCAUGGGGGCGGGUCUUUCUCAUGCUGUUCUCAUGAUAGUGAAUAAGUCUCAUGAAAUCUGAUGGUUUUAUAAGGGGGAGUUUCCCUGCACAAAUUUUCUCUUGUCUGUCACCAUGUAAGACCUGCCUUUCACCUUCCACUAUUAUUAUGAGCCUCCCCAGACAUGUGAAACUGUGAGUCCAUUAAACUUCUUUUUCUUUAUAAAUUACCUAGUUUUAGGUAUGUCUUUAUCAGCAGUGUGAAAUAAAGUAUAGAAAGUCUAUUAUAUUGGAAAGAACACUGGGGCUCAGGCAUUAGCUCAACCCUUAGGUCCAUACCUUAUGGUCACAUAAUAUUGGAUAAGUCACUCAAUAUCUUUGAGCCUUGUUUAACAUAGAAAUAAUAAUAAUGACCUCACUGGAUUAGUCGCGG
rnacentral:lncRNA from 1 species